CCCUUUGCAAAGUCCUGCCCCACUCCAUUCCUGAAUGCCAGGAAGUACACAGGGACUCAGUUAAAAGACGUGACAGCCCCCGUUCUGGCGUGCGCACCCUCCAGCACCUUGGAAACACUCCGGCUGCAUCAGCCAGAACGCCUGCAAGGACUACAACUGCUGCCAAACCCCUCUGCUUCCUCCCACCCAACUCAAGCAAUGUCAGCCAAAACAGAGCCCUUUCCAUUUGCAUGUCAGGCACCGUAGAGAUUCAUACAGAUAAUCUUCAUUGGUGGAAAUAUAUCACACUAAAACCUUUUUGCCUGGAAUACACCAUUCUAGCCCAGUUCCACAUGCUCCAGCAACUUACAGGAAAGCACUACUUUUCUCCCAGGUGGUCUUCUUAAAUCACCCAACUGUCACCCGCAUAUGAAUAAUAUGAUGCCUCUUAUCUACAAAUCACUUCUACUGUGGAGCUAAAACAUUCUCACCAUGGUAGACUGCAGCAGAGAGCCUGCUGCAUGAAGAUCUGAGGUUUUCAUUUUGAAUUUGAGGACAGUACACAAAUGCGGGACGUCAGUUAGACCCAGAGAAUCUGAUUGCUGAUUUCACUGUUAACUGUAGAUAAUGGAAGAUUAAACUGUCACUGCUUCUGACCUCAAAUGGGUUUUGAUUAUUAUAAUGAGGAAAUCACUGUUUACAAGGGGUGGUGAAGGGGAGGAUGAGAACAAGAACAAAAUCCACUUACAGCUGUUACAAAUGCUAAGAUAGCCCAGUACAAUAUCUGGCAGUGGAAUGUUGCAGAAUGAUGGAUUAAGCAGCCAAGGACAUUAAGAGUGGACCAGACAUGCUGAGCUGGGUAUGUUUGUACGUCACCUGGAAUUUAAGGCAGAAAAGAACGGCAAGAUUCCCUAGCAUCCCAAACUGAACACAAUGAGAGAUCUUACUAGUGAAUACGCAGUAAAUUAAAGAGAACAGUUAGGGGGAAUGCAGCAAGUAGUGGUAGAAUCCCAAAGGAACUGCAAAUACAACUCAUGAAAAUAAGGGAAAGUUUAUACAUCCAAUACAAUCUGCAGAUCAGCUGGGUCCUGGGAAAAAGGAAUAUCUCUGAAGAGCUCUUUCCUGCCUCCUUCUUCCUCUUUAGUUUCAUUUGGGAAAGAAUUUCUUACAUGGGAAAAGUACUGCACAGCUGCAGAUAGAUGUAGUAGGUCAAGUGACGUGCCCAUGGUCCCACACUAAGUGAGUGACUAAAGAAAACCCAGGUUCUUCCUGCUUCACAGAUAUGGGGCUUCAUUCCCCUUUCACUUUCCCUCACAUGGAUCAGGAAUAACUUCACUCAGGUGAAUGGCUUUUACUCUAUACAACAAGAGGAGCAUGCGAGCUAUUCACUGCAACCAACCUUUAGUUCAUUGCCAGCCAGUGUAACAGGUUAGUCUCACUUCAACCCACUGACCAGUCUUGUUUCAAACAGUGCCUCUCAAGUAGUGCCUCCAAAGUCAGCUCUCUGUUGGGAUUUGGGGGAAAGCCGUGCUAGCUGUACAGGUUCUGUCACGCCGUGGCCAUCACUUUCAUCUUCACAUUUUUCAAACUUAAUUUUAUUUUAGAGAACGUCAGCUAGAGGGGGAGGGGAAGAAAAGAAACGGGGCCCAGAGUUCUACAGAUGCUGCCCUUCAGCAUCAAGAGAUGCUUAUUAACAAUUAUACAACAAUGAAGCCAAUUAUGCGGCUCCGUUAUUGGAAUGUAUCUUAUUAUUCAGACGGCAGUGCUCGACGUAACAAGCAGCUGUAUGUCCCCAUCUGCUCUCUGUAGUUUUGCUUCAUCUGCUUCUUCGGGUAUUUCUGCAGUAGGAGGAGAACGGAGACCCAGGCCAACCACAGUAACAACAGUGCACACGGGGAGCAAGUGAUCAGCAGAGGAGGAUAGAGACGGGAAAGCCAUCAUAUCGAGCGUACCUACUCCGAGUGAUUUCAUCCUGCAUUGUGCACUCGGCGAAGGACUAGAAGAGAGAAGAUUUUUUAUGGCCAUAUUUUAUACUGCAAUUCUGAAAUGUUUCAUUUAGCACAAACUGCAAUGACUCCAGGGGGAACGGAUUUAACAGUCUCUGGUGCUGUAUAUAUGAGUCUAGCAAUGUUCUAACUAACAGACGCGCAUUCUUUUUCCCGGUGAUUUACUCUCUUCUCCGUGUAGGUAACAGUAUAUGUUGUAUUUUUUUCCAUUAACUAAAAAGGUCUCGGCUGGAUUAUUUAAAUAGAGAUAAUUUUUGAGAAAUAGACUUUUUUUUUCUUUUAGCAAGUACUUCCAGUUGCAUCCCUCCUUCCAGUUUGCUGAGGGAUAGGUUACUUCUGUCGGUAGAGAUUUGCAUUGACCUUCCAAAACGGGAGGGUUUCAAAGGCAUGCAUGCCGUUUUUAAUUCCUAAAAUUGGACUGUACACCUGUCUGGAUCUAGCAGUGCCAUUACACUCAAACAAUCUGCUUUCCCUCUCUUCCUCCUUCUUGCAAACAAUGGUGAGAGUUGAUGGAAAACAACCCAUCAGGACGUGCUGUGAACCUGUAACAUUCAUUGACUUUGACGGGAGUGGCCCUUAGUUCAGCAAGCAUGUGGAAAAUGAUUUAAUGCUUCAUCCUGCAGCUCUUAUUCCUUGGUUAAACCCUUUGUGGUCCAUCAGUGCGGCCACAUAACUAGGAGUCAGGAGAGCCUGGGUUCUAUUCCCAUGUCUGCCCCUACCUUGUUGCUUGAGCUUUGGGCAAGUCACUGCCCAAGGUCAAAAACUUCAAAUGUGGCCUCUGAUUUUGAGUACCUCCAGUUUGGGGCCUGCUAAUUGAGAGCUGGUGAGCACUGCAACCCAUUGACCUCAGCUGAAGUUAUUGGUGGCUCAGAGCUAGGCCCCAAGUGCCCCAAGCUGGGCACCAAAAAUCAGAAAGCAUUAUUGAAAGUUUUGGCCUUUUUAAAAAAAAAAUGCCGUGCCUCAGUUUCCCCAUCUGUAAAGUGGUGAUAAUGCUACUCACUGCAAUGUGGACGCAGCCUGCCUUUCAUUGUGGUGUAUAAGCUACCUGUGCCCUAUACGCCACCGCAAGCAUAGAAAAGGCAAAAAACGGGCACUGUCACUGCUUUAUCAUAAAUGUUUUAAAUAUCCUGGAACAGAAGAGAAGGCAGAGUUCAGAGAUCACCGCACUUACAAACCUUGUGAGACGUGACCAGAUCUCUACAAGUCAUUCCCAGCUUUGAUUUUUCUGCUAGGAGGAGAAAAGGUAGAAGGGGAGUUGAUGAAACUGAGGCACAUUUAAGCUAUUACUAGCUCCCUACACCCCAAAUACAGCCAUCUCCACAGGGAGGCAGGAAUCAUUUUUCCUUAAACGAUUCUGUUGCCACAUCCACGUCAGUUAUUGUCUGUAAAGAAUUAGAUGAACCAGUCACAGACACAUCUGAAUGUAUAUGGCCGUAGGGAACAUGCUAAGAAAAGCCAUGACAUUUACUUUUCAUUGAGAUGUCAAAGAUGUAAGGUGAAAUCCUGCCCCUAUUGAAGUCAGUGGGAGUUUGGCCAUUAGCUUCAGAGGAGUCAGGAUUUCAAGAAAACCAGGUGGUACAUAGUGCUAGCUCUUUACAAAGAUGUCAUUGCACUAGCCGCUCAUAAAGAUAUUACAUAUAAUAGAUCUCGGUUGAGUCAGUAUUAAUCUGUGCACCAUUUUCAGUCUGGAGAUUUGGAGUAUGAUUUAACCAGUUUCCCCCAGAGGUUCCCAACAACCCCAUAUCAUAUUGUGCCUAGCACAGACAUUCAAACUAUAAUGAUUUAAUGUGAACUCCAUAAAACACUUGUGUGCAUCUGACUUUCCACUGUGGAUAUCUGACACUCCACUAUAUCACCUUGUAAAACCUCACAGAUGCAGCCAGUCUCUGACAUAAUGGGCCAGAUCCCCAGCCAAUGUCAAGUGGCGUCAUUCCAUUGAAGUCAGUCGAACUACUCCGAUUUUCACCAGCCGAGGAUCUGAACCAACAUGUGACAGUGACAUACCAGAGCACUGAUAUGCAUGCUCGGUUUUUAAUAGAGUAAUUGCUCUUCAAAGAGGUUAUUUGGCUCCAUUCUCAAAGCAAAAUCAAAAAGCCACAGCCAUUAAUUUCUAAGAAACACGUUCAAAUGCCUGAUACUGGUCUCAUUGAAGUCAGCGGUAAAAUUCCCGUUGGCUUCAGUGAUGCAGAAUUCUGCCCCAGAUUUGGUAGACAGGAACAGCAGUCAAUGCUGGGGGACCUUGUUGAGCUGAGCCCCUCUUAUCCAAAAUCCUACAUUAUCUAAAACUGGAGUGUGCCCCCUGACAUACAGUGUUUUUCAUUUAGGGCCUUAUUCAUAUUCAUACUAAGGUCUCUUGCCAUCUCUCUGGCAGUGUAAAUGGGGGUUAAAGUGGCUGUUAAUGCAAUUUAUGCCACUAUAAGACCUAUUUAUGCUGCCGGACUGGUGUAAAGGGACCUUCAUUUAAGUCAUAAUAAGGCCCUAAAAGCCUUAACUUAUCUCAGAACUUCAUCUUCCAAAUAAAUUCAGUUGGCCCAAUAAAUUCUGAUCUCAGUUGCACCUGUGUAAAUAUGAAGUAACUUGAUUUUGAGUCAGUGGAUUUACACCACAUUUACACUGGUUUAACCCAGAAUUUGGCCGAUGGCGCUUUCCUGAAUAUGCUGCUGCAUAUAAAGUGAAGCUCAAGCAGCCCCUGUUUGCAUUCUCUUCUAACAUCAGACUGAAGUUUCUGAUUUUGAUUUAAUUGCUUAUAACAAUAAUCAGAAUAUGGCCCAGUUCAAAUCUGUCUUGCAAAAAUAAAUGUUUUCCUUCUGCAAAAUAAAGAGGAGUGCCAUACAGAAAGGCGAGUCCGUUGCAAGAGCGCACUCCCUCAAUUGAUGUUUGGUUAAUUUUCUGCCACAGUCCAGUAUGUCUACAAUACCUCCAUGCUGGAUGCGAAUAGUGUCAAAUUUAGCUGUGGCUUUACAAUAGUUUCCAUUUCAUUCUAGACUGGAAAUUAGAUUUGUCUUAAUGUUGCUGGUAUUCCACAAGAAUUGGAUCAUUUUAUUAUCGCUCUAUUCGGAUUAGUACCUUAAGAAAAGGAUCAGAAGAAGUUAAAAGUAAAACGUUUCUUUCUGCCAGAAGUCGAGGAGAUGGAAAGCUUUUGUUUCUCAAGAACUGUGGCUGGCGAUCUGACAGGUAUUUGUGGGGAGGAGAGAGCGGAGAUUUUUACUGUCAUUGAUUCACUACGGAUCUAUCCCUCUUCAGAGCCAAAUCUUUUCAACUUACACCCCCGCACGUCUAGCGACAGGUGUAACUCGGCAGACUACACCCCAGCCUGGCCUGCCAGUUGAGUUCUAAACCAGUGUUAUGAAUGAGUGUAAAAACGAACAGUAUGUAACCAGUGCAGGUGGGUGUGAGGUAUCAUAAGAAAGCACAGCUGGUUAUUUUCCAAGGGGCCAUCUCAUCAAACCAUUAGUGGUUCACUCAUUGCAUGUGGUCUCCAUCUCGGAGACUUGCCCCUGAGUGAGUUAUGCUCCUCUUAGCUUUAUUUGUUUAAAUGGCACCACUGUGAUUUGUUAACUUUUUUUUCCUGGACUCCCUCCUUCUGGUCUUUGCUUGCAGCCUCGAUUGUUCAAUUGUUACCUCCAGAGUCACAGUUCUCAUCUGUGACACCAACACCAAUGUUCUUGUCAGGAAAACAUAAAACUAACCCAGCUAACACCAGUCGCCUGCAGGAGACUGGCCACUGUAGGCUGCCUGGGAACUUCCUGAGAUUGAAUGUCAGUUCUGCAGUGUCAAUGCCACACACUGCUGAUUUUGCGGUUGACUUUUUAUUCCUAAAGCAGCCUAGAUUUCCCACUGGAUCACCUCCUGAAAGACAAACUGGAUAUUGACCCUGCAGCACAGCUAGUGAGGAGGCAGGUGAAUGGGAAAAUACUGUCUGUGGCAAAAUGAAACUCACCCUCCCCGAUUAUGCUUUAGUUAUUUCUGGGCAGGUAAUGUCUCUUCUGCAUUGGUCACUAUCAUGCAGGUGCCAUCAAACUAGUCGGUUCAGAAAAGCUUUAUUAUUUCACCUUCUUCUAGUUUGUCUGUUAGUAUAGUGGACUGAAAUUUAAAAAAAUACAAUAGUAGACACUGAUUCGCUGCUGAUAAGGAUUAAAUGAUCAUGUAAUGUGUAUUCCGUGUGGAAAAUGAUUUUUAGGUGGUUCUGAAAACAGAAAUUAAAUGGGGACUUUUAACAUUGAAGUCAGCUUGAAAAAAGAGGAGGGAUAUCCUCUGAUCCAUGUAUUUCCUGGGUUUGCUUUGCUAUUGUUGACAACAGUUGUAUCUAUAACAAGUUUCUCUCCUUCACAGCCCUGGUUUAUUUCCCCCCUUUUCUGCCUGAUCCUUCAGUGACAGCAGAAUCCCAUGUUUAUGACAUCGCAGUCAGUUGCCCUGGUGGUCAUUGUAAUGUCACAAAUGAAGCAUUAGGAGACAAAUCUGGACAUCACCAUGAGAAGGGGCCAUACAAGUACCUCGAUAGAAAAAAUCAUGGCACUCGAGUGGCUCGGGCUUGUCCUGGGAAUCUCAGCACUGGGGUGAAACUCAUGGAGAAAGGCGUUUUACCCUUGCAAAUUGACAGCGUGGCAUUGGAUCAGUUUAAUCAUUGCCAUGCCACCCACACACCAUGUGACUGGUAUAGUCCUCCUCCAUAGAAGAGAGUUGUAGAUGUGUUUUCAUGGUUACAGACCAAUGGCUUAGCCUGACUUCUCCCCUAACCCACCCCUGCCUACCAAAGCCUUUGCAAACUAUGGUGCAGGGUUGUGUGAUGCACAAGGGGUAUGGUAUACUGCAGCAUCACACCCUUCCCACUGAAUCAGGGCCUUCCAGGCCUGCAGGGAGGGCGUUGGGGGUGUGUAUCCUGCACUGCAGGAUGAAGCAGGAAGAGCAGAUGAGCCAGGAGGAAACAAGCCCCGGUUCGAGCCCAAAUAGCUUUAGUCAUUAGCAAGCAGUGAGAACAUUCUGAACAAAAGUGAAUGGGGAAGUGGAUCUGUAUUUGUCAGAUUCAGUGAAACCUGUGCUAACAUUUCCACCCCCAUUAACCAACAACUUCUGUCUUGAGCAGAGCUGGGCAAAUACUGCAAAACCUUGGGCUGAAUUUACAAACAGAAUUUAGACUUCUGUGUUUGUUCUCUGCAGAUAUUCCGGGAACCAAUUUACUGGCUAGAGUGUUUGCAGAGAGAGACCAUGGAACCUCAGUUCAGCGAGGUACAGAAACACAUGUCUACCUUUGAUUCCCAUUUGACUUUAAUGGGAUUCAUCACAUGCUUAAAGUUAGGCAUAUGCAUAAGAACCUUCUGAAUUAGGGCUUCGAAGUGUUGUUUCUGCAGAUACAUCAGUUCAAUGGCACUAUUCAUGUUCUUCAAGUUGCGCACAUGCUUAAGUACCUUGCUGAAUUGGGCCUAAAUAAAUACCAGAGAAUAUUCAUGGGAAGGGAAUUUUGCUUUCAUUAUCAUGACCAUUUGAACCAGAAAUCUGAUUCUAAGAAUUAUGCUCAUCCACUCAAAGGACAGAAACCUAUCAUGUGACUUGUGCGUCUAAUCAAAACAGUAUCAAAAUCAAAUGCAACAGAAUGCUCACUAAUGCAAAGUAUUAUCCAGCCAGUAAUUUCAAGUAACAGAUAAAUGAGGGAAUUGCAAUCUGCUCAUAGACAUUUGGUGAACAAAAAUUCAUUUGGUGAAUUAUUCAAUAGAAGAUUAUUCACCCAGCAGCAGUUUUAUGUGAUCCCUGUAAAUUAUCCCAAAUUUCCAGUACAGUUGUAUCUUACCCUUAGAUUCAUGUCUACUAGACAAUUUCUUUAUUGUGUGUGCAAUAUUCCCUUGGUGUGAUUACUUAUUUUAUACAGAUUUCACAGAUAUUUAAAAGUUUGUCCUAAGACAUAAAUUCCUUUUCUGGCUUCAUUUAGGAUUGUAUCCAUAUAAAUUACAUUUGUAAUUAAGCAUACGAGUGUCUUAAUCUCAGAUGUUAUUUUUCAGGACUCCACCUAACAAAACAGCUGAUCAGUGCAUUGAUCUUUGGUUUCUAUUAGCAUGGUCAGAUUCACAGUGCCUACAUUUUUCCAGGAUAGAGAGGGAAAACAGGGCGUGUGCCCUGAGUGUCGUGAAAAUCACUGCUAAACUCACAAUGACAUGAAAAUGUCCAAUUAAUGCACGAUACUGCACUGCAUGUAUUAAAUUGUACUAUUUCUACAUUUCCCAAGCCUUUGCUGUAAACACAUCCUGGACCCAGUCCCCUGGGGUUUCUUUUAAGUUUGGUUUUGAAAUGACUAUAUGUAUCUGUAACUCGAAAUCCAUCAUUACCUAGCGCUAACUGCAAAAGCUGACGUUUUGUGAACAAAACACUGCAAAGCCUGAGAAUGUAUUUUGUCCUUUUACUAAAUGCUGUGCAGUUUUUAAGGGAAGAUCUCUGUCUAGAGCGGCUUCAUUCUAUGCACCCGUCAGUUUCACCUGUCUUGGUUCAGGGAAAUCAAAACUUUUUUGUUUUGUUUUCACGUAUGCUUAAAAACAAUUAUCUACCAUUAAAAUCCCUUGUACUGGAUUUACUGCACAGCGAGGGCUGCCAAGCAAACAUGUUAGUUAUAUCUAUGUCUCUGCGCUUGAAGAUAACAGCAAAACUUAGACUGGAAUGUAGGCUAAGUCAAUUUAUAUUUUCCGCCUUUUCCUGAGAAGCUCUUGGAAUUUGGCUUUUGCAGAUCUGUUGCAGAAUAUUCUGUUGCUGUGGACCAAGCCAGCCGCUGAAUAUCUUAGUCAUGUUGUUCCUAAAGCAUCAAGUGUCAGAACUCUUUAUUUUUUUCAGUUGCAUUUAACCCAUUGCGCUCCAGGCAUUCAAGUCUGUAUUUAUCAACAAAAGACUUCAACCCUAUUUCCUGUACUACCUGGAAAUGAUUCUCGUCUUCUCUUCUGCUGAUCGGUCUCUGCGAAUCAUUUUGACUCGUGAUUUCUUUUUCUGAGGCUGGACAAGAGAGAGGAGGUCAUACAGAGCUCUCAGUAUCAAUGCUGGAACCCCACUCAACUAAUCAGCUGAGAGCGCAAUUUGCCUGAUUGCUCAAUGUUUGCUGUUUAUAUUACAGAAGAGUCGGACAUUACUGAAAGCUCAAAAUCCACAAAGGGAGCCAGCUGAGAGCUAGGAAAUUGCUUGCCAGUAGGAAGAUGGGUUCAGUCAUUCCUUCACAAUCAAUUUCCCUGGAAGCAGCAUGCUUGGCAGGGGAAUUUCAGCAAAAGUAAGGCCAAGGUGAUGUAGGGAGUGAAUUUAAAACCUUCUAGCUAGUUUGAGAGCUAGUUUCUCCUACCCUUGCAGCCCUGCACAGUGGCUGACUAGAAUCUCACCGGAAAGCAUAAUCCCUCCCUCCUCCAUGCUUUUGGGGUUAGCAUCACAAGGAUGAAGCAGGAGUUGCUCUUCCCGCUGGCUGACAGGGUACACGGAGGGGUGACAGGGAAUGGUUCUGCUAUGGCCCUGCCGUCCGCAUCAGCCCACAAAGCAGUGGGCAGCAUGCUACGCCUUCUGCAAAGUCUCAAUUCAGCAAAGAACUCCAAGCACAUCAGUCUCACUGGAGUCAACAGAACUUGUGUGCCCUAAAGGUAAGCAUGUGCUUACGUGCUUUGUGGAAUCAGGGCCCAAAGGAGACAGAGGUGCUGCUGUGCUGUGCACACAGAGGAAGUCCUCAGUCAGAAUCCCUCCUGCAUCACCCUCUACACCCACCAAGCAUAGCCUGGGGUCGCAAGGGCUGAAUCUUGCCCUAGGUGAGAAAGCCAGGUCAGUAUUUACCACCUCUUUAUUCAUGCCCAGCUUCUGCAGCCCUGACAUCCCACAGACUUGAGUAGAACAUCGGACCAGUUAAUCAGCUCAGAGUGAGUUACUAGGUGAUUCAUGUUUCUGCUCAUCCGGGCCAGUGACGUUUCUCUCUGAGUCUUUGCUUCUGGGUGGGAAGCAGCAUUUCUGCAUUUUAUUUAUUUUUAACAUUUGGCUUGGGACAAAAAAAGCCCAGCCUGCCCAAAGGGAAAUUUGGGGAGGAUUCCCGAAAUAGCACUCGACUGCAAAACAUCUCUUGGUUUAUUUUUACAAAGAUGCGAGCAUGUUUUAUUAACAAAAAGAGAAAAAAAAGCUUACAAUUUUAAUCCAGGAAUGUCAGUGUGCCUAAUAUUACAGGUCUUGUGAUUGAUACAAUUUCAUAACAACAUCCUUGUCCAAAUGAAGGGAAAUAGUGUAUUUACUCCAUGCAUGUACUAAGGCAUUGCAAAAAGUUUAACCUGCGUAAUGGGUUUGCGAACCUGCAAAUUGUUAAUGGGGCUAUGUCGCAAAUGAUUCUCUGCCUUGACAAUCAUGUAUACAUAUCGAGAUUUCUAUCAUAAUGAUAAGUGAAAGGGAUGAUUAAUUGUUUUCCUCCAAUAAAUCCAAUUAAAUCAC